rnacentral:rRNA from 1 species
UACGAAGGGGGCUAGCGUUGCUCGGAUUGACUGGGCGUAAAGGGCGCGUAGGCGGUUCGUACAGUCAGACGUGAAAUUCCUGGGCUCAACCGUGGGGGCUGCGUUUGAUACGUGCGGACUUGAGUGCGGAAGAGGGUCGUGGAAUUCCCAGUGUAGAGGUGAAAUUCGUAGAUAUUGGGAAGAACACCGGUGGCGAAGGCGGCGACCUGGUCCGAUACUGACGCUGAGGCGCGAAAGCGUGGGGAGCAAACAGG